ACGCCAAAUUUCGUUAGUCACUUCGAAGCAUAACGUAGGGUUUAAAUUUACUUGACAUCUGGCCUCGCGACUAAACAUUUUAACAAGCUCAAAUCUUUCGAAGCACUUCACGCACGUGUUAUGCGUGCUAAAUGAACGUGACAAUUCUGUUUCAACGUAUGUACAAUUCAACCGGCCGUUUUUUAAACUAGCCACUCCAUGUCUAAAAUGUAUCCUUUUCUCGAUUUCAGCAGGAAGUUGUAAAAGAUGAAUUCCAGCGAAAAUGCUUAGAAAUUACAAUUGUUCCAGGAAGUCGUGGACGGUCCAGCCGUGAUCACACUGGUCGUUCUUAUCAACGAGGAUGCCGUAUUACCGAAUCGACUUCCACUGGCCGAGGAGGUCACGUUACUCGUGUUGCUGGUCGUGGUGCACCAUUCUUGGCCGCGUCGAGAUGGCAGCCAGGAUGCGACGAGUACGAAGACACCUCAACGUCCAACGGCAACGACGCGCCG